CAGUAAUGGAAGGUUUGCUAAGAUGGACGUUACUUGCUGCUUUUGUAUUAUUUAAGUCUUCACCUUCUAUUUCUGGCGAAGAAUCAACGACUCUGCGACAAAGAACAACAGAUACUACCGGAACGACCACAAACACAAUCCCUUUUGCAGAAAUAACUGGCAAAGACGUGGAACCAAAAACAACAAAUACCGCCGCAAUGAUCACAGAUAUUAUGUCUUCAACAGAGAUAAGUAAGUGUUUUGAGUUCGUUUUACGAAAAAAUAUAUGUUUUUAAACUUUAUUUAUCUAUUUACUGAAAGAAGUUAUU